rnacentral:sRNA from 1 species
UUUAAGAUUGCGUUAGGGAUGGAAACGGCAUCCUUUUUUGGCCCUUUUUUUGGGGCAAAAAGAUAGAGUGUACAGCCCGACCCUUG